rnacentral:rRNA from 1 species
UGCAGUCGAACGAUGAUGCCCAGCUUGCUGGGUGGAUUAGUGGCGAACGGGUGAGUAACACGUGAGUAACCUGCCCCUGACUCUGGGAUAAGCGUUGGAAACGACGUCUAAUACUGGAUAUGACUGCCGGCCGCAUGGUCUGGUGGUGGAAAGAUUUUUUGGUUGGGGAUGGACUCGCGGCCUAUCAGCUUGUUGGUGAGGUAAUGGCUCACCAAGGCGACGACGGGUAGCCGGCCUGAGAGGGUGACCGGCCACACUGGGACUGAGACACGGCCCAGACUCCUACGGGAGGCAGCAGUGGGGAAUAUUGCACAAUGGGCGAAAGCCUGAUGCAGCAACGCCGCGUGAGGGAUGACGGCCUUCGGGUUGUAAACCUCUUUUAGUAGGGAAGAAGCGUAAGUGACGGUACCUGCAGAAAAAGCACCGGCUAACUACGUGCCAGCAGCCGCGGUAAUACGUAGGGUGCAAGCGUUGUCCGGAAUUAUUGGGCGUAAAGAGCUCGUAGGCGGUUUGUCGCGUCUGCUGUGAAAUCCCGAGGCUCAACCUCGGGCUUGCAGUGGGUACGGGCAGACUAGAGUGCGGUAGGGGAGAUUGGAAUUCCUGGUGUAGCGGUGGAAUGCGCAGAUAUCAGGAGGAACACCGAUGGCGAAGGCAGAUCUCUGGGCCGUAACUGACGCUGAGGAGCGAAAGCGUGGGGAGCGAACAGGAUUAGAUACCCUGGUAGUCCACGCCGUAAACGUUGGGCGCUAGAUGUAGGGACCUUUCCACGGUUUCUGUGUCGUAGCUAACGCAUUAAGCGCCCCGCCUGGGGAGUACGGCCGCAAGGCUAAAACUCAAAGGAAUUGACGGGGGCCCGCACAAGCGGCGGAGCAUGCGGAUUAAUUCGAUGCAACGCGAAGAACCUUACCAAGGCUUGACAUACACCGGAAACGGCCAGAGAUGGUUGCCCCCUUGUGGUCGGUGUACAGGUGGUGCAUGGUUGUCGUCAGCUCGUGUCGUGAGAUGUUGGGUUAAGUCCCGCAACGAGCGCAACCCUCGUUCUAUGUUGCCAGCGCGUUAUGGCGGGGACUCAUAGGAGACUGCCGGGGUCAACUCGGAGGAAGGUGGGGAUGACGUCAAAUCAUCAUGCCCCUUAUGUCUUGGGCUUCACGCAUGCUACAAUGGCCGGUACAAAGGGCUGCGAUACCGUAAGGUGGAGCGAAUCCCAAAAAGCCGGUCUCAGUUCGGAUUGAGGUCUGCAACUCGACCUCAUGAAGUCGGAGUCGCUAGUAAUCGCAGAUCAGCAACGCUGCGGUGAAUACGUUCCCGGGCCUUGUACACACCGCCCGUCAAGUCAUGAAAGUCGGUAACACCCGAAGCCGGUGGCCUAAC